rnacentral:rRNA from 1 species
GACGAACGCUGGCGGCGUGCUUAACACAUGCAAGUCGAACGGAAAGGCCCUGCUUUUGUGGGGUGCUCGAGUGGCGAACGGGUGAGUAACACGUGAGUAACCUGCCCUUGACUUUGGGGUAACUUCAGGAAAACUGGGGCUAAUACCGGAUAGGAGCUCCUGCUGCAUGGUGGGGGUUGGAAAGUUUCGGCGGUUGGGGAUGGACUCGCGGCUUAUCAGCUUGUUGGUGGGGUAGUGGCUUACCAAGGCUUUGACGGGUAGCCGGCCUGAGAGGGUGACCGGCCACAUUGGGACUGAGAUACGGCCCAGACUCCUACGGGAGGCAGCAGUGGGGAAUAUUGCACAAUGGGCGGAAGCCUGAUGCAGCAACGCCGCGUGCGGGAUGACGGCCUUCGGGUGGUAAACCGCUUUCGCCUGUGACGAAGCGUGAGUGACGGUAAUGGGUAAAGAAGCACCGGCUAACUACGU